GUGGGGGUCACGGCCCUAUGGGGCAGCUAUGGAGAGGCUAUGGGGCAGCUAUGGGGCAGGUGGGGGUCACAGCCCUAUGGGGACAGCUAUGGGGCAGCUAUGGGGCAGGUGGGGGGGCACAGCCCUAUGGGGCAGCUAUGGGGCAGCUAUGGGGGUCCCAGCCCUAUGGGGGCGGCCCUAUGGGGACAGAUGGGGGUCACAGCCCUAUAGGGCAGCUAUGGGGCAAAAUGGGGGUCACAGCCCUAUAGGGCAGCUAUGGGGCAAAAUGGGGGUCACAGCCCUAUGGGGGCGGCCCUAUGGGGACAGAUGGGGGUCACAGCCCUAUGGGGGUGGCCCUGUGGGGACAGAUGGGGGUCACAGCCCUAUAGGGCAGCUAUGGGGCAAAAUGGGGGUCACAGCCCUAUGGGGGCGGCCCUAUGGGGACAGAUGGGUGUCACAGCCCUAUGAG
ensembl:lncRNA